GAGUUUGAUCAUGGCUCAGAUUGAACGCUGGCGGCAUGCCUAACACAUGCAAGUCGAACGGUAGCAGGCCUUCGGGUGCCGACGAGUGGCGGACGGGUGAGUAAUGCGUAGGAAUCUGUCUUUUAGUGGGGGACAACCCAGGGAAACUUGGGCUAAUACCGCAUGAGCCCUGAGGGGGAAAGCGGGGGAUCUUCGGACCUCGCGCUAAGGGAAGAGCCAACGUCUGAUUAGCUAGUUGGUAGGGUAAAGGCCUACCAAGACGACGAUCAGUAGCUGGUCUGAGAGGACGACCAGCCACACUGGGACUGAGACACGGCCCAGACUCCUACGGGAGGCAGCAGUGGGGAAUUUUUCGCAAUGGGGGCAACCCUGACGAAGCAAUGCCGCGUGGAUGAAGAAGGCCUUCGGGUUGUAAAGUCCUUUCGUGGGGGACGAAAAGGUGGUUCCUAAUACGAGCUGCUGUUGACGUGGACCCAAGAAGAAGCACCGGCUAACUCCGUGCCAGCAGCCGCGGUAAUACGGGGGGUGCAAGCGUUAAUCGGAAUCAGCUGGGCGUAAAGGGUGCGUAGGCGGUACGUUAGGUCUGUCGUGAAAUC
rnacentral:rRNA from 1 species